AGAGUUUGAUCAUGGCUCAGAAUCAACGCUGGCGGCGCGCCUAACACAUGCAAGUCGCACGAGAAAGCGGGAGCAAUCUCGCAAGUACAGUGGCGUACGGGUGAGUAACACGUGGAUCAUCUACCCUGGAGUGGGGAAUAACGCUGGGAAACCGGCGCUAAUACCGCAUAUUCCCGAGAGGGGAAAGCAGCAAUGCGCUCGAGGAGGAGUCCGCGGCCGAUUAGCUAGUUGGUAGGGUAAAAGCCUACCAAGGCUGUGAUCGGUAGCCGGCCUGAGAGGGCACACGGCCACACUGGCACUGAAACACGGGCCAGACUCCUACGGGAGGCAGCAGUGGGGAAUCUUGCACAAUGGGGGAAACCCUGAUGCAGCGACGCCGCGUGAGCGAUGAAGCCCUUCGGGGUGUAAAGCUCUUUCGGCAGGGAAGAUUAUGACGGUACCUGCAGAAGCAGCUGCGGCUAACUACGUGCCAGCAGCCGCGGUAAUACGUAGGCAGCAAGCGUUGUUCGGAGUUACUGGGCGUAAAGGGUGUGUAGGCGGCCUGUUAAGUUCCGUGUGAAAUCUCCCGGCUCAACCGGGAGGGUGCGCGGAAAACUGGCGGGCUAGAGUGCGGGAUGGGAGAGUAGAAUUCCUGGUGCAGCGGUGAAAUGCGUAGAUAUCAGGAGGAAUACCGGUGGUGUAGACGGCUCUCUGGACCGCAACUGACGCUGAAACACGAAAGCGUGGGUAGCAAACAGGAUUAGAUACCCUCGUAGUCC
rnacentral:rRNA from 1 species